AGGCAGCAAAAACCCUGUCCUCUCAUGUCCACCGCCUGACACCCACCGCCGAUCACGCGCCGGCGGCGGCACGGCAAGAUGCUCUCCCGCGCGCGGCGCCUACACCCAGCUCUCCACCGCCUUCUCCUCCCCACCACCCCUGCACCCUCCCAUGCUCCACCGCGCCCACCUCACCACCCCGCCGCCGCCCAAACCUCUACGCCUUUCCCAAUCCCCUUCCGCCGCCACCUCUGCUCCCCACCACCACCAACGCCGCCGCCGGCAUCGCAGCCUCCAGCGGUGGUCUCUUCUGACCCCACAGCCGUCAGCGCCAAAUCCGUCUGCCCGGGAUGCGGCAUCACCAUGCAGUCCUCGGACCCCGCCCUACCGGGCUUCUUCUCGCUCCCCUCCCCCAAAUCCCCGGACUACCGCGCGCGCCUCGCGCCAAUCACCGCCGACGACACCCUGAUUUCCGCCUCCCUCAAAUCCGGUCAGCUCCGGGAGGGGUUAGAGCCCUCGCGGGGCGCCGAGCCGGCCGCGGCGGCGUCCGAGGCGGCGGAGGCCAAGGGUGAGGGCAAGGUUCUGGUGUGCGCGCGGUGCCACUCGCUGCGGCACUACGGCCGCGUCAAGCACCCCGACGCGGAGCGCCUCCUCCCGGAUUUUGAUUUCGUCGCAGCCGUCGGCCCGCGCCUCGCGUCGCCGUCGGGGGCCAGGUCGCUCGUGCUACUCCUAGCGGACUCCGCGGACUUCGACGGCUCCUUCCCGCGGGCCGUCGCGCGUCUGGUGGCCGCCGCCGGCGAGGCGCACAGCGCGGACUGGAAGCACGGGGCGCCGGCUAACCUCCCGCGCGCGCUGCUCGUGGUCACCAAGCUCGACCUGCUCCCGACGCCGUCUCUGUCCCCCGACGACGUGCACGCGUGGGCGCACUCCCGCGCUCGUGCCGGUGCGGGUGCCGACUUGCAGCUCGCCGGGGUGCACCUGGUUAGCGCCGCGCGCGGGUGGGGCGUCCGCGACCUGCUCGACCACGUGCGCGACCUCGCCGGGCCGCGCGGGAAUGUCUGGGCCGUCGGCGCGCGGAACGUUGGCAAGUCGACGCUGCUCAAUGCGAUUGCCAGGUGCUCUGGCGUAGUCGGGCGACCCACCUUGACGGAGGCACCAGUUCCUGGAACAACCCUUGAUGUGAUUAAGGUGGACGGCGUUCUUGGAGCUCAAGCGAAGCUGUUCGACACACCAGGACUUCUCCAUGGGCAUCAACUGACAUCCAGACUGACAAGCGAGGAGAUGAAGCUGGUUCAAGUGAGAAGGGAGAUGCGCCCCAGAACCUACAGAGUAAAGACAGGACAGUCUAUACAUAUUGGUGGAUUGGUGCGCCUGGACAUUGAAGAGUUAACUGUAGGAUCAAUCUAUGUUACAGUAUGGGCAUCACCACUUGUCCCACUUCACAUGGGGAAGACAGAAAAUGCAGCAACGAUGAUAAAAGAACACUUUGGCUUACAACUACAGCCUCCCAUAGGCCAGGAUCGAGUAAAGGAGCUCGGUAAAUGGGUGAGGAAGCAGUUCAAAGUUUCUGGGAACAGUUGGGAUACAAACUCUAAGGAUAUAGCCAUUGCCGGUCUUGGCUGGUUUGGAAUUGGACUGAAAGGAGAGGCAGUGUUGGGAUUAUGGACAUAUGAUGGUGUUGAUGUCGUCUCCAGGAGCUCCCUAGUCCAUGAGAGGGCUUCAAUUUUUGAGGAAGCUGGUUUCACAGUUUCACAGAUUGUCUCUCAGGCAGAUAGCAUGACCAAUAAACUGAAGGGCACCAAGAAGACAAACAAGAAAAAAGAGAGCAAGACGAGUACUUCACCCAUCACAGCUCCAGAAGCUGCAAAAUCUGCUUCCACCAUCGAUGCUUGAGUGUUUUCAUGCAGUCCUGUGACUGGAGUACUGCUUCGGUUGCCAUGUUCUAGGUGGCUGGAGUAUUGCUGCGGUGAUCAUGUUCUAGCCCAGAAUGCUCUGCUUUGGCCCUAGAAGCUGUAACUGAAAUCAGAAGCAUACAUUGUCUUUGGCCCACAAUGUUCUUCAGAAGGGGCCUGUGUUCAUUGAAGGUUUUCUGGUAGGGAACUGUGUUUUAACGCCCUAAAUUUUGAACCUUCACUUAUUUGUUUGGAUGGUAACACCUAUCUGGAGAGUCAGUCACUCAUUUGGGAGUACUCCAUGUGACAUGUAUGUUCAACACGAGUACUUGUGUUCCAGAUUUACAUUUGGAUUUUGUCAUAAAAUUUUGGAUUUUACACUUGUUUUGUAAAGUUAUAGCGCUGGACCUUCAUAUAGGUUCCACAAUCACCUCUGCGGCUCUGGAGACUCUGCCUUGUGUCAACAUGUCCUAGGGCUAUAAAUUCAGACGGGCAUCUCUUACAGACUACAGCUUGUCUUCUAGUGAAUUUUUUCUUUAAUUUCUGUUGGAAUCAGUGAUACUUUGUUGUAAAUUUUCUGUUUUGUAUUCUCUGCGGUGAAUUUCAGCAUCAUUUCUUUA